rnacentral:rRNA from 1 species
AAUUUUAAGGUCAAGCUACAAAGGGCGCAUGGUGAAUGCCUUGGCACUAGGAGCCGAAGAAGGACGCGAUAAGCUGCGAUAAGCCUUGGGUAGCCGCAAAUAGGCUGAGAUCCAGGGAUUUCCGAAUGAGGAAACUCACAUGGGUAACCCCAUGUAUCAUGCACUGAAUACAUAGGUGUAUGAGGGUAAACCCGGGGAACUGAAACAUCUAAGUACCCGGAGGAAGAGAAAGAAAAAUCGAUUUCCUAAGUAGCGGCGAGCGAACGGGAAAGAGCCCAAACCAGAAACUUGUUUCUGGGGUUGUGGAUAGAUCAUAAAAGAAGAGGUAUCUUAAUCGAAGAGGGCUGGAACGCCCUACCAUAGAAGGUAAUAGUCCUGUAGAUAAAAAGAGAAAACUUCGAGAUCUAAUCCAGAGUACCACGAGACACGUGAAACCUUGUGGGAAGCAGGGAGGACCACCUCCCAAGGCUAAAUACUACCUAGUGACCGAUAGUGAAGCAGUACCGUGAGGGAAAGGUGAAAAGAACC